rnacentral:rRNA from 1 species
AUUGAACGCUGGCGGCAGGCCUAACACAUGCAAGUCGAACGGUAACAGGAAGAAGCUUGCUUCUUUGCUGACGAGUGGCGGACGGGUGAGUAAUGUCUGGGAAACUGCCUGAUGGAGGGGGAUAACUACUGGAAACGGUAGCUAAUACCGCAUAACGUCGCAAGACCAAAGAGGGGGACCUUCGGGCCUCUUGCCAUCGGAUGUGCCCAGAUGGGAUUAGCUAGUAGGUGGGGUAACGGCUCACCUAGGCGACGAUCCCUAGCUGGUCUGAGAGGAUGACCAGCCACACUGGAACUGAGACGCGGUCCAGACUCCUACGGGAGGCAGCAGUGGGGAAUAUUGCACAAUGGGCGCAAGCCUGAUGCAGCCAUGCCGCGUGUAUGAAGAAGGCCUUCGGGUUGUAAAGUACUUUCAGCGGGGAGGAAGGGAGUAAAGUUAAUACCUUGGCUCAUUGACGUUACCCGCAGAAGAAGCACCGGCUAACUCCGUG